GACGAACGCUGGCGGCGUGCUUAACACAUGCAAGUCGAACGGAAAGGCCCUGCUUUUGUGGGGUGCUCGAGUGGCGAACGGGUGAGUAACACGUGAGUAACCUGCCCUUGACUCUGGGAUUACUUCAGGAAACUGGGGCUAAUAACGGAUAGGAGCUCCUGCUGCAUGGUGGGGGUUGGAAAGUUUCGGCGGUUGGGGAUGGACUCGCGGCUUAUCAGCUUGUUGGUGGGGUAGUGGCUUACCAAGGCUUUGACGGGUAGCCGGCCUGAGAGGGUGACCGGCCACAUUGGGACUGAGAUACGGCCCAGACUCCUACGGGAGGCAGCAGUGGGAAAUAUUGCACAAUGGGCGGAAGCCUGAUGCAGCAACGCCGCGUGCGGGAUGACGGCCUUCGGGUUGUAAACCGCUUUCGCCUGUGACGAAGCGUGAGUGACGGUGAUGGGUAAAGAAGCACCGGCUAACUACGUG
rnacentral:rRNA from 1 species